rnacentral:rRNA from 1 species
UCCUACGGGAGGCAGCAGUGGGGAAUAUUGGGCAAUGGGCGAAAGCCUGACCCAGCAACGCCGCGUGCACGAUGAAGGUCUUCGGAUCGUAAAGUGCUUUUCUGAGAGAUGAGAAAGGACAGUAUCUCAGGAAUAAGCCUCGGCUAACUACGUGCCAGCAGCCGCGGUAAAACGUAGGAGGCGAGCGUUAUCCGGAUUUACUGGGCGUAAAGCGUGUGUAGGCGGUUCGGCAAGUUGGAUGUGAAAGCUCCUGGCUUAACUAGGAGAGGUCGUUCAAUACUACCGAACUUGAGGGCAUCAGAGGAGAGUGGAAUUCCCGGUGUAGUGGUGAAAUGCGUAGAUAUCGGGAGGAACACCAGUGGCGAAAGCGGCUCUCUGGGAUGAUCCUGACGCUCAGACACGAAAGCUAGGGUAGCGAACGGGAUUAGAUACCCCGGUAGC